rnacentral:rRNA from 1 species
AUUGAACGCUGGCGGCAGGCGUAACACAUGCAAGUCGAGCGGAAACGAGUUAUCUGAACCUUCGGGGAACGAUAACGGCGUCGAGCGGCGGACGGGUGAGUAAUGCCUAGGAAAUUGCCCUGAUGUGGGGGAUAACCAUUGGAAACGAUGGCUAAUACCGCAUGAUGCCUACGGGCCAAAGAGGGGGACCUUCGGGCCUCUCGCGUCAGGAUAUGCCUAGGUGGGAUUAGCUAGUUGGUGAGGUAAGGGCUCACCAAGGCGACGAUCCCUAGCUGGUCUGAGAGGAUGAUCAGCCACACUGGAACUGAGACACGGUCCAGACUCCUACGGGAGGCAGCAGUGGGGAAUAUUGCACAAUGGGCGCAAGCCUGAUGCAGCCAUGCCGCGUGUAUGAAGAAGGCCUUCGGGUUGUAAAGUACUUUCAGUCGUGAGGAAGGCGGCGUCGUUAAUAGCGGCGUUGUUUGACGUUAGCGACAGAAGAAGCACCGGCUAACUCCGUGCCAGCAGCCGCGGUAAUACGGAGGGUGCGAGCGUUAAUCGGAAUUACUGGGCGUAAAGCGCAUGCAGGUGGUUUGUUAAGUCAGAUGUGAAAGCCCGGGGCUCAACCUCGGAAUAGCAUUUGAAACUGGCAGACUAGAGUACUGUAGAGGGGGGUAGAAUUUCAGGUGUAGCGGUGAAAUGCGUAGAGAUCUGAAGGAAUACCGGUGGCGAAGGCGGCCCCCUGGACAGAUACUGACACUCAGAUGCGAAAGCGUGGGGAGCAAACAGG